GCCGAGGUGGCGGAACUGGAAUACGCGUCAGCCUUAGGAGCUGAUGUCCGCAAGGACUUGUGGGUUCAAAUCCCACCCUCGGCA
rnacentral:tRNA from 3 species